rnacentral:rRNA from 1 species
CAGCCGCCGCGGGAAAACGGAGGGGGCUAGCGUUGUUCGGAAUUACUGGGCGUAAAGCGCACGUAGGCGGCUUGGUAAGUUAGAGGUGAAAGCCCAGGGCUCAACCCUGGAAUUGCCUUUAAGACUGCCGAGCUAGUAGGUGAGAGAGGUAAGUGGAAUUCCGAGUGUAGAGGUGAAAUUCGUAGAUAUUCGGAAGAACACCAGUGGCGAAGGCGGCUUACUGGCUCAUUCUAGACGCUGAGGUGCGAAAGCGUGGGGAGCAAACAGGAUUAGAUACCCGAGUAGUCCCUGUCUCUUAUAC